UACGUAGGGUGCGAGCGUUGUCCGGAAUUAUUGGGCGUAAAGGGCUCGUAGGCGGUUUGUCGCGUCGGGAGUGAAAACCCAGGGCUUAACCCUGGGCUGGCUUCCGAUACGGGCAGACUAGAGGUAUGCAGGGGAGAACGGAAUUCCUGGUGUAGCGGUGAAAUGCGCAGAUAUCAGGAGGAACACCCGUGGCGAAGGCGGCUCUCUGGAACGCAACUGACGCUGAGACGCGAAAGCGUGGGGAGCAAACAGG
rnacentral:rRNA from 1 species